UUUGAAAUGUAAAUUUUAAAACUUAGGUAGUAAUAGUUAUGUUCUUGAAACUUAAAAAAUUUGGCGGUAUUUUAGUCUAUUCAGAGGAACCUGUUUUAUAAUCGAUAAUCCACGAUGGACCUUACUUAAGUUUGUAAUCAGUUUAUAUAUCGUCGUUAUUAGAAUAUUUUAUAAGAAAGUUAAUUUUCAUAAUUUUGUAAAAGAAAAUAUAUCAGAUCAAGGUGUAGCUUAUAUUUAAGUAAAAAUGGGUUACAAUAAAAUUAUUUAUAUGAAUAUAAAUUUGAAAUAUUUAUUGAAGGUGGAUUUGAUAGUAAAAUUAUAAAGAUUAAUAAUUUGAUUUUAGCUCUAAAAUAUGU
rnacentral:rRNA from 1 species